UGAUGACCGGCCAUACUGCAUCAACAUCCCGGUCAAGAGAGAGACCAGAACCCCGGAUGAUACAGGUAGAACAAUGCUACUGUUGGUGUUGUACAUUCAGAAUCAGGCCUAGUCUCUUGUAAAUGACUUGUAUUCCACAAUGUUCUUUCAUUCACAAUUUCACAACAGAAUCCGAUGUAGAGUAAACGGCUACAUGUAACAGUCAACUAACCAGUUGGACAAUAACAACUUGAACUCCUCCCUUCCGUUCAAAUGUCCUAUCUUGUCACAUUUCCCUUUCCUGUAGAAAAGACCAAGCUGGAGCUUUGCAUUGAGAAAGCCAGCGCUGACAUAAUGAAGGAACUCCUCACCCCACUUGAGAAGGAACCCGAACCCUUCUGGAAGACGGGAUGGAUGGCAAUGAUGGAGGAGGAAAAUAAUAAAAAGAAGAAGAAGGAGAAGAAGGGUUGCGGCUGGUUCUCGGGUUUGUUUGGCCGUAAGAAAAAAAACAGCGAAAGAAUUGUGGAUGGAGGAUUGUCGCAGGCGCGGAUACUAGAAAUCACAUCCACACAAACCAAGCGUAUGGACACACACACAUUUACACAGAGACAGAUAUAACAACAAGGCCUACCUCAGAUCCCAAACAGACAACAUAUGUUGCCUGUCUAAUAGUAUGUCUUAUUUUCCAUUUUGGGAUACAGGAUGUUUAUUUAUAUUUUACCAGAGGCUAUGUUUUGGCACCAAACAAUUAUCUCUGUGAACUUUUAUUGGAAAAAUAAACACUUUAUUUGAAGUAUUUUGCGUGACUUUGUUUUCUAAAGACGUGUCUUUUAUGACUUUAUUUCUGAUAUAUAUAUUUUACAUUCCAUAUAGAGGAGCCUGAUGCUCAAUGUAACCAAUUGUAAUCCAUUGUAUUGUUUUAUGGUGUAGCCUGAUAAUCUGUGUUUUAAAUUGUUGUUUUUGAUUAGAUCAACACAUUUACUUUGCUGAAAAUACAGUAUGUUUUGAAUUUUGGGCUUUUGGAAUAAUUUAUACAGUAGACUAUUCAAAUGAAUCGGUUAAUUAACAACAGUGAACAUUUGGUGAAUAAAUAUACUUGAAAUAAAAACGCUUCCAUCAAUAGUCUAUCUGAAACGGAUCAUUUACAAGAAUAAAUGGUACAAAGAGUAGAAUAUGAAAUGCUGUAGCUGCUUCUGAAGAUUGUUUGGCCGUAAGAAAAAUAAAUCUAGUUGGACCCCUGGACAUUGUCAAGAAGUGUUUGAAAUCUUGCUCAGAAACGCAGCAAGACCAUAGCUGUCAUGUAAGGCGGGUGUUUGGAAAGGAGAGCUCACCUCUACAUUCAGUAGUCUACAUGAUAUGACCAAGAUGUAUCACAGUGGGGCAGCAUGGGAUUAAAACUUUGCAACCUCGGUGCAUCAGUGAUCAUGACGGAAGUCUCUCAAUCAUAACAUGCUAAGAUAUUUUUCUUAUUCUUUAUUUAAAAACAAUAUAACACUUUGUACAAACAUAUUACUUGCUAAUUAGAAUGAAUAUAGGUUAUGUAGUCUAUAAAACGUAUCAGGUCUGAGGUUUUUAGGAGUACAUUCAUGAUGUGAUGCCAAGGAAUGAAGGGAAUUAUUAACCUGGACUAGGUCUUUGUAAGUCUGGGUACCCGUCUAACUAACAUUCCGCUCCUUGUCCCUUCUGUCAAACACAUGGUGCCCAGGCUAGGUCUUUGUACCUUCUUACAUAUAAAUACAAUUCAAAUAACAUACAGUAUUAUAUACAAGACUUCUGUAACAUUCUUGCACUUUGCACAUUAACAUUCU
rnacentral:lncRNA from 13 species